AUUGAACGCUGGCGGCAUGCCUUACACAUGCAAGUCGAACGGCAGCACGGGAGCAAUCCUGGUGGCGAGUGGCGAACGGGUGAGUAAUAUAUCGGAACGUGCCCAGUCGUGGGGGAUAACGUAGCGAAAGCUACGCUAAUACCGCAUACGAUCUACGGAUGAAAGCGGGGGAUCGCAAGACCUCGCGCGAUUGGAGCGGCCGAUAUCAGAUUAGCUAGUUGGUGGGGUAAAAAGCUCACCAAGGCGACGAUCUGUAGCUGGUCUGAGAGGACGACCAGCCACACUGGAACUGAGACACGGUCCAGACUCCUACGGGAGGCAGCAGUGGGGAAUUUUGGACAAUGGGCGCAAGCCUGAUCCAGCAAUGCCGCGUGCAGGAUGAAGGCCUUCGGGUUGUAAACUGCUUUUGUACGGAACGAAACGGUGAGCUCUAAUAAAGCUUGCUAAUGACGGUACCGUAAGAAUAAGCACCGGCUAACUACGUG
rnacentral:rRNA from 1 species